AUUUAUUAUGUGCAAUAUCUCUUGUUCAUGCUGUUCUUUGCCUUCGAUAUUUCCUCCGAAGAAAAACUUACUAAAAAUGCUCGAAAGGUGUGUCGCAAAAUCGAUUCACUCAUGCUUUUUCUUUUCUCAUUUAUUCAAAUUUAUCAAUCAAACUUGUGGUAAGUCUCGGUGCGAAUUAGGGUUAAACCAGUUUAUCACGAAAACUAAAAUUCGCAAAGCUUUUAGCCGUAGAGAAGGAUGUUGUUAUCAAGCCAUUUGCCGUCGGGGAGACGGAGAAGGAGUGCGACGUGUUCGAGGGGAGGUGGGAGUACGAUGAGGCGGCACGGGCUCUUUACGGUGAGGCGGAAUGCCCUUAUAUCCAGCCUAAAGUGAUGUGCCAAGCGAACGGAAGGCGCGACAAGCAAUAUCUACAUUGGAGAUGGAAACCUCAUUGGUGCUCUCUUCCAAGGUAAACAUUGCGCUCAAGAGGUUUUUUUUUUUUUUUUUUUUUUUUUUUUUUUUUUUUUUUUUAAAGAGAUAGGUAGCAUGCUACCCGCUUCGCUUAUUUCAUUUAGAAAUAAACUUAGCAAGAAAUGUGAAUCAACUAGGAUUCGAACUUGGGUCUCGGGUACCGACCACCAAGUCCUUUGCCACUUGCUCUAGGGACGGUUGGUCAUUGCGCUCAAGAGUUAUUGCGUAUUUUCGGAUUGUAAAAGUGUCAUCGGUAUGUAUGAUUUUUACAAGUUCCCACAACUACUAUAAGCCGAUUUCCGAUUGGCUUACUUAACUAUGAUAAUUGUUAUCUACCUCGCGAAUUACACUGACUAUCCAACUAGUUUGUCAGCAUAGAUAAAAAGGAUUAUAUAUAUAUAUAUAUAUAAGAAGGCUAGGGUUACUAUACUCUUGUGAGUGUAUAUAGAGUUCUUCGUACUCAUAAGUUGUUUUUAAUGAUCGAUGGAGCUUCAGAAUCGACGAUCCACUCCGUUAAAUAUGAUCUAGAGUAUUUGAAACUUUUAGAAAAUAAAUUUUGUAAUUUUAUGAAAUCAUAAUAAAGUUCAUCAAGGGGGUAUAAAUUAAAUGAAUGGUCAAGAUCGAACGACGUCUUAAAAAUGGAUGUUCGAAUCCUUCAAUUUAAGAUCGGAGUUAUUGAUCUUUAUCUAUAUAGUGAAUAUAUUUUUCUAUCAAAAAUUCAACCGAUUUCGAUUCUUUUAUACUAUUAAACUAGCAAAUAUUUUACACCGGCCGUUAAAAAUUAUCAAUUUUGUGACCUUUUGUUCGUAAGGUAAAUGAUGUUGAAAAAUUAUAAAUUUUAAUUUUUAGUUUUUAAAUGCUCUAGAUAAUGUUUAACAGUGCAGAUCGUCGAUUCGGAAGCUUUAUCAUUGAAAACAACUUAUGUGUACGAGAACGAUCGUACUUAUAAGAGUAUAGUAGCCGGACUCUAUAUAAGAAAGUGUUAAUAGGCAUUGUGUUUAUAGAUUGGACUACAAUGUAGCAUUUCGAUAGCCUGUUUGAGUAGAAAUAUCGAAAAAGAUUAAAAGUGUCUCUACUUUUAGGUUGAGAAACAUAUAUAUUACAAUUUUUCCAUCUUUGAUAGUGGAAACUACAAACUCUCCUAUUAUGCCAAGCUUAAUUUCCACUAGAGAUGCACAGCUGCAGCUUAAAGCAGAAGUUGUACUAAAAUUUUUGUAGCAGCUUGUCUUUCUCCUUUUUGUAUGUUCUUUUCUGUGCUUCUCUGAUGCAUGCAUCCAUUUCUUCCUCCUUUUGGUGCAAAGCUUCAAUGCAACAUUCAUGCUCGAAAUGCUGCGAAACAAGCGCGUGAUGUUCGUCGGCGAUCACAUCCACCGCGGCCAAUUCGUCUCCAUGAUUUGCCUCCUCCAGAGUGCCAUCCCUCAAUCCUUCCAGUCCUUUGAGACAGUCAAGCCAAAAUCCAUAUUCCGAGCUUCGGUAAUUAAUCGUCUCUUGCAGUCAUGAAAAUAAAUUACAUGUAUACUCUUGUAAGGCCCAAAUUUGCAAUUAAUGAAAUUGAGCCAUUUUCUUUUUCUAUGAAUUGGAUGAUUCUCCUACUUAAGAUUGUGGUGUUUUUAGAACACACACACACACACACACACACACAUACACACACUGAGUAUGAAAAUUCAUAUGUAUUUCACAAAGGGAAAUGUUUAGAUAUGUUUAGAAACUCCUUUACUUGGUUCUCACAUUGAAAGAUUAAUCAAAAUUAACAAACAAUUAACUUUUAACUUGAGUUUUUAAGCAUACCUUCUUUAAUUUUCAAACUUUGCUAUAAGAAAGACAAAAUAGAUGGAUCUCGUGUCAAAAGACUAAUGCCAAAGUUUCUUAACAUAUCUUUAAUUUGUAGAACUACAACAUGACAAUUGAGUUCUACUACUCUCCGUUCCUCCUCGAGUCGAACCGCGAGCAUAGGAGCCAGCGCUUCCUGAGGGAGAAGAUAAUACGCACGGGGUCGAUCGACAAACACGCUCGCCAUUGGAGGGGAGUUGAUAUCUUGCUGUUGAACACCUACACUUGGUGGCUGCAGCCAAGAGGAAAGAUUAAGAUACUGUAAAGCUCACUAUCUUACUAUACAACAUCUAAUUAACCAUAUAUGUUGUCAUUGAUAGUUAGGUGUAAAAUGUUGAAUAGUCCUUAAACUUUUGCAAUAUUUCAUCAUAGUCCCUGAAGUUUUACUUAAGCAUUCUAAUCCUUGAGUUUUUACAAAAUAUUGCAAUCACAUCUGUAGCCGUCCAACAAGUGUUGUUCAUUUAGUCAUGUGCUCAGCACCAGGCGCUUUUCUAUAAAAUUACCAUUUUAACCUUAUUUCAAGAAAAUUAGGUAAAAAUCAAUUUUCAAGAGGGAAGGGCAAAAUGGUCAUUUACAGUUAAAAAAAAAUUCACGUGCCGAGUAUACACAUUGGUAGAAGUCAAACUUUUCUUUUUUUUUUUGGAUGGGUUAUGAUAUAUGAAAAAGUUCUAAGUAAGAUAUUGUGCUGAAAAGUUCGGAAACUAAGUCGUUAUCUUGUCAAAAAUAUAAGGAUUAUUCAAGCAACAUACCCUAUAUAUUUCAUAAACUAUUUAGCUGUUCUUAUGUUGCAUUGAUCUCUUCAUUCAAUACUUAUUAACUAAUUCAUAGCAUGUGUUUGUGUGUAUUAUUUGUUCAUAGGAAGGGGUCUUUUGAAGGGGACAAGAGAAAGAAUAAGAUAAAGGAGAUGAAAACUGAGGAUGCCUAUAAGUUAGCAAUGAAUGAAUUGGUGAAGUGGGUGGAGGAGAAUUUUGAUCCACAUAAGACUAGGGUUUUCUUUACAAGCAUCUCACCUUCUCAUGAAUUGUAAGAUUUUUCUCUCUCCAACCAAAAUUUUCAAUUUUCAAAAUAUUUUUUUAUCCCUUCUUUCUUUUUGUGGUAAUUUCACAUCUCAGUUGUUUCAUUGCCAUGAAUUUGCCCUAAACUAGCAUGCUUGUUUCAGUAAUUUGUGCUUAGAUAUUAUUGACCAAAAAAAUAUUGUUGAAUGCAAAUAUUAAAAACACAAUUCUCUAGCAACUUAUUAAGGUUUUGGAGAAUAACAGUUAUUUUAUAUUAUUUCACAUGAUAUAAGAAUAGGAGGUCAUGUAUUCGAGUGCUGCUAGACUUUUAGUUCUAUUUUUAUUUUUUAAAUUUUCGCUCAUUUCAUUUAAGUCUGCGUAGUAGGCCUGUCAAAUACUUGAGUGUUAAAUAUAAUAUUAAAAACAUCAUACUCUAAGAGCUCCAAAUAGUGGUUAUUUCAUAUUAUUUAACAUAUCAUAGCUCAUCAGGAAAUUUUUAAUAUAUGGGACAAUGUAAUUGUGCAUACCAAGUGUUACAUGACUUCGAUCUCAAGCUUAAAGCACCAAUAAUGAUGUGAUAGUGUAAUGAAAUGACUAACACUACAAAAAUAAUCAAGCAACUAUAAGAAAUUUAUGGAAAAAUUAAUGAAGGACAUGCCCUAGGAAAUCUUCUAACAUUCCCUAAAAUUUUCUCAACUCUCCUAAUCUAAGUAAGCUUCUAACAUUUGGUAGGCUAUUAAGAUAAGUGUUGGCUUUUAGCAAGAAGUACUAGUGUAAGGACACCCAAGGUUCAUGAAACAUUUGAGAUCUCACCAUGGUUUUAGUUAUUAAUUAACCUCUCAUUCUCUAAUCUAAGUAUUUGCAUUGCAUUUAGGAGUGAGGAGUGGGGAGGAGAAGCAAAAGGCAAUUGCUACAAUGAAACAACCCCCAUCCUUGACAAUCCAACAUACUGGGGAGUCGGAUCAAGAAAAGGCUUCAUGCGCGUAAUCCAACAAGUUCUAUCGAAAUCGAAGGUACCGAUAGAGGUUCUCAACGUAACCCAGCUCUCCGAGUAUCGCAAGGACGGUCACCUCUCCAUCUACAAGAAGCACGAGCGAGAGCUCGCGCCUCGCGAUCUCGCAAACCCUAGGAGCUAUGCUGAUUGCCAUAACUGGUGCCUUCCUGGUGUACAAGAUACCUGGAAUGAGCUCUUGUAUUCCAAGCUCUUCUUUCCUUAGUUGCCCUAGUUUAGAUACCACUCUGUUUAUGAUCCCCUCUUUCCACAUUUCCAUUCUAUUUUGACAUGAUCUUUCACUGUUAAAUUUUCUGUUGAGGUUGUUAUUUUCACAACUUCAAUUAUGCAAGAUUUUCUCUAAUAGAUGCAUGCUUGGUAGAUAAUUAUUUUAAAUUUUAGUGUCAAAUGGGCUCUAAGAAAGAUUUAGAAUUAAAGAGGUAAAGCAACAUUCUCAAUUGUGUAAUAGCAUCUCUGUAAAUACCAAAUACUUGGGUCUACUUCAUUAGUUAUUCUACAAUUGUCAACAUCUAGAUAAAAUGUUGUGUUCCAUUAAUUAUAAGUUAUAUGAAUAAGGGUUCAGGAAUACUGAGUUAAUUGAUAUGAGGAUGUUGGAAAUUUGAAAUCAGGGGAAGCAGAAGGAGAAACACCAUUAGAGAAGAGCACUUCUGGUACAAUACUAUCUCAAGUCAAAAUUCUAUACUAGGAUUGGAAAACUAGAAGGUUAAUAAGGACUUUUUUUGCAUUUAGCCCCCUCAAAAUCUUUUUUUUUUAAACAAAUGGCCCUAGCAAAUUUAUAUAUGUAAUAUUCACAUAUAUAACCCUCUCCUUGUCACACGAGCACCACGUUGGCAUUUUUAACUUAAGAUACAAAAAAAAACACAGUGAUUAAAUUACCGUGUUCAACUUAAAAACACCGGUUGGAUGAUCGCAUAGCAAGAAGAGGGCUAUUUAUGCAAAUAUAAAUUUAUUAGGGCCAUUUGUAAAACAAAAAGUUGAAGGGGCUAAAUGCAAAAGAAAAAAAAAGCCCAGUUAAUAAAGAAGAACAUGAAAAGUCAGCUACUUACUGCAAUAUUUAUAGAGAGAAAAAGCAAUAGAACAGUGGACGCAUAUGUCUCAUAUUACAAAAUUGCAUCAGCUUUGAUUAUUAAAUGACCAAUACAGUAAAACAGAAUUUCCAGAAGAAUAGAGAAACAAACAGAUUGAGGAAUGUUAUUGCCACUACGAUACUAUUAAAUAUUUAGUAGCCAUCAAUACAAUGCCUGAAUGCAUGUCAGGAUAAUAUCUUCAUAUUUUUUGGUAGUAAAAUAUGUGGGCGACCCCUGUAGUAUCCGAUAUCAUGACUAAGCUCUUAUACUUUUAAAUUAAAUACUUUGAUCCCUAAAUUUUCACAUAUAUUUCACUUUUGUUCCUGACCGUCAAAAAGAAUUUGAAUCUUGCUGUAAAACGGACCUUCUAACCUUAGUCAAAGUAAAACUAAUACGAAUCACUUACAGCUCGGCCUGUUUAUAAAAAUAGAUGUUUUUGAUGGUCGAGGAUUAAAAUGCUAUACCAUGAAGUUUAGGGAAAAAUGUUUACAUGAAAAGUAUACAGACCAAGUCGCAAUAUAAGGAUAAUACAGGGACUACCAUAGAUUUUUAGACUUUCUUUCUUCUCUGAACCCAAGUGCUACUUGAAUCCAGAUCAAUCAGUAGCUCCAAUCUAUUGAUUUCUAGGCUUUCUAUGGACAAAGCAUCAGCUUUUCUUAUGGCUCCUUGACAUCAAAAUCUACACAAACACCCGAAAAUUUGGACGCCAGGAAAAAAAUAGGGCUUGCUUGCGAUAGUUUUUAUUGUCAGAGUAAGAUCACUACCUUUCUUGAGCCUUGUAGAAGUAGUAAUUCAACCACCUUUCUCUUCUGGCAUCAAGUUGAUGAUAAAAUCCAAAAUAUGUAUUGUACAGUACUAGAGCUAUCCUUUCGAAACCAGACCUCGCAUAUUCUGUUCACGGUUGCUGAAUCUGAAAUUGUACCCUUGCCAAAAAACAAGAAAAGCAUUUUGUACCUCAUAUAACCAUGAAAUAAUGGAGUUAUCUUGAAGCAAGAUGGUGAUAUUUUCAUACUUUCAUAUUCAACAGUAGUUACUUUUUGAUUAUAUAACUUCCAAGAUCUAAGGAUUAUAUUACCUGCUGUACCAAAUUGCCAUGUCAUUCGAGAACUUAGCUUGCACGACCACCAACUACACAUAAAACCCUCUUCCUCAUCUUCUGAAUGGUCUGCGUACAGUUGAACAUACAAAGAAGCUACCGUAACAAAUCAAAGAACCAUUCAUAGGAAAGGAAUACUCUCUCUAAAAUUUCAAGAUCUUACCGAAUAAGACAUUUUAGCCCAUUUCUCAGCAGAGACAGCAGCUUCCUUGAGAUGAGAACUGCUAGGAAGGUUAUACGAAAUAGAACAAGUAGAAUUUUCUGUUGCUUCUGCUACCCAAAAAUGAUUGAUUUGAUCUCUUGGUUGCUUUAUAAGAUUACAUAAUCCAACCUGAGUUGAAGCAUAAUAUUAAUAUUUGAGAAGAAUUGCAGCUUAAUUUAUUUUCAUAUAAAAUUUCAUGCUAAGGCAAAGCACAAAUGCUAAAUCAGAGCAAUAAUGCCAAAAAAAGUUGUGAUGGCCGAAGAACAGUAUAGAAAUUAUGGCUAAAAUGGAUAUUGUCCUUUUCAUGUGGCUCAAAAUAUCAGAGCUCUGCGAGAUGAAUAUUAGACCUUUUCUGUAUCCGGCUCAAAGCUGGAUCAGGAUUCGUAUUUGAAUAUUGUCAUUCAAACGUGGAUAUGGGUUAAGUUUUUCAGUCAAAUUUAGAUCAGUUAUUCCAUUUAUAUUAGAAUCACUAAAAAUGAGAGGAACACUAGUUUAGUAGUAGCUAAAACCUAUCAUGCUUUUCUAUGAAUUCCCAAUUUGAGUUUUUCAAUAUAUUUCAAUAUAUCUCUCAAUAACAGAAGAAUAGUGCAAUAGUAGCUAAAAUCAAUCAUGCUUUUCUCUAAAUUCCCAAACCAAUUUGUUCCGCAUUUAUCCUCUAUAAGUUAUUAAGAAAUUUCCGGUUGAUACGAAUAAUUAUGUAAAUAUUGAAUAUCCAAUAUAUGCCUGUUUUUGUGUUAAGGAAAUCUAAUCAAAACUUACAAGUUCGUCUAGUGUAAGUUUGCAAACUAGAAUCCAGAACAGAAAAUGUGAAAAAUACCAAUAUCCUAAUCACCAUAACCUCUAAUAGAAGCAAUUUUGUAUAAAAUCAAAGAGAAAUUCUAUAAAUUUCUUUAAGUAGGCUACUCAAAAAGUUUCAUGCUAUAUGUUCAGCUCACAUACUGUGGUCCCUGAAAGGGUGUUGGUAAAUAUUGCGGAUGAAUCAUUAUCAGUGGUUGGCGAACAAAAGCUAACAGCCAGAAGACGAUUAUACAUUUCUUCAAACUGUAUUUCGGAUGUGGAUCCAGAUCCAUCCGUCAUAAAGAUCCAUUGCUUUUUCUGGCUUUCGGAUAAAUAAACUUCCCCCACAUGCACAAUUACAGCUGCAACGUCAAACUCACUGAAACAAACAAAAUUUAUUGGCCUUAAAAAGAAGCAUAAAAGGAAAAAAGAGGAAAGAAAAAUGUAGAAAGAUUUAUUAACCUUGCAAGAGGAACCUCGCCUAAGUUUGACAAAAGGACUGCUUUGCGAGGGCAGAAAAAUGGUCUGCAAUAAUAAGAGGAAAAAAAAUCUCACUAGAAUAGUGCUAAUGAUUAAAUGAUGAGAGUAUUUUCUUGUACAGUGGCCCUGCAAGUACUUGAAAUUGCACAAAAAAAUCCCCUGCAAAGUUGGCAUUUGCAUGCAUGCCCACUUGAAACCUUAUUUAUUUGCACACACGCCACAGGGUAUUCAUGCAUAUAUACACCCCUGGCAAUGGCAUAAAUCCAAACAAAUGCAGGUUUGAGGGGUUUGGAUAGGGAGACAAUUUCUGCAGAGAUAAUUGCAAUAUUAACAGGGGAGAAUACAUGCAGAAAGCCUGAGAAUAUUUGCUUACUCAAAAUUUUUAGUAUCUGUGGAAGGUAAGGGUCUCCAUACUGUAGAAGAUCCUCUUGCUCGCAAGUGCAGGAUGUCGCUGGCGUGGUUCAGUGGCGUGAGUCCUGUAACUGAGUAUAUUUGCCCUUCCACCAGAUCGAUUUUCUGUUAACAGCAAUAACGAGUAAGGCAAUACUCUGUUCUUGAAACUAGUUAUUUAAAGUAAGCAUGAGAGAAUUCAGCCUAAGGGCUUGGAUAUAAGAAGACUGGCUUUUACACUGUUGCAAAUGAUAUUUAAGCAUAAGCAUUUAAAGAUUUUAUAUGAUAACAUUAGUCAGAAGAUUCUCCCAGCAAAGAAAUAGCCAUACAGACUAAUCAGGCAUAAGAUAGAAGGCAUCCCAUAAUAUUGAAAGGAUGCAUUGAUAUAACUUCAUGUUUUUAUCUUGCUGCAUUCUUUUAUGUUUAAGAUUCUUACAUCUAUACCCCUUUCAAAACCAUUUGUCUACAUACAUGUACCUGCACAUCCGAAUUACCACAUAUGCUUCUUAAACUCUUUUUCUUACAUAUAUUGUAACACACUGGACCUUUGCAAAUUGCGAGGUUCGAGUGUUUGGAUGUAUUUCGAGCUUUUUCACACUUGGUGGAGGGUUGUAGACUGUUUUCCGACCUAAAAAAUUCGAAAAUUAGAAUUCUGGACAAGUCCUGAGAGUUUUUACUCUAGGGGACCGGUCCCUGAAAGGAGAGACCGGUCCCCCAGUGAGCAGUGUUGCGGCAGCCUUGAGGCAACCGGUCCCUGGCAGGCGACACCGGUCCCCAAGCACGCCUACGCAGUGAGAGACCAGUCCCGCGCAGGGAAAGACCGGUUCCCGAACGUUGGUUUUUCGGAUUCGCAGCGAGAGACCGAUCCUUGCUGGGGAGAGACCGGUCCCUCUGGGCGAAAACUGCCCAGAACGGGCUGUCGCAAUAUUGGAUUUUUGGGGGGCCUCACUGGAUUUUGUUACACUAGAUGGGCUUAUUGGCCAUUCCACCCUCUUUCCUUCCUUAUUUCCUCAUUCUCACCUUCUCCCUACACUUUCUAGAGAGAGAAGCAGAAGAAGGAGGAGGAGAAGAGGAGGAGGAGCUUGCUUGAGGAGGCUUGGAGAGCUUCACCCCUUUUCCCCCUUUCCACAUUUGCAAGGCUUGGAGCUUGCUUGUAGAGCUUGAUGGUGGACCAAACUUCAACCCCAGGAGAUUUAGAGCUUGUUUGGAGGCAUCUUGGGAGGUUAGUACUUGAAUUCUACCCUUUGAUCCUUGAUUUGGUAGGUUUUACCAUAUGGAACCCUAGAAUGGGUGUUAGGGUUGAUUUUUGGGGCUUUUUGAUCUAGGGCUUUUGGAGCUAGAUUGUUUGGAUUAGAAUCUUCCUUGAGCUUAGAUUGGAAGGGAUUUAGCUCUCUUUUGGAGCUUGAGAGAGAUUUCCCACACAUUAGGUGAGUUUUAGCCCUUUUGCCAAGUUUGUUAAAGUUUGAUCUUAUAGUUGAUCGUAAUGCCCGUGUAUCUCUUCGCUCGAUACUUUUAGGGUAUUUUGAGACUCGUGGACAACCUCGUUCGGCGAAUCGAGGGAGCACGCGACGGUUCGGUGGGUUUGACCUAGCCUGGCAUAUGAGAAAUUCUCAUAUCUCAUAUUUUAUGCUUGUAGAGUAAAAAUUCAUGCAUUUCCAUGAUAAAUGUAUUUAUUGUGAAUUUUGGGAUGCUUAACAUGCCUAUAAUAUGUGUAAGAAAUUUCGGGCCCCUAUAUAGUAGAGGGCUACCGUGUGAGACUUGUAUAUGAUGGGCACCCUAUUGAGACUUGGAAUCAUAUUUCCUAUUGUGAAAGUGAGCAUUACCUUCAUGCAUUUUAAGCUAUUCUUACUUGAGACUUAAGGGAUCUUAGUAAGCCAUAAAGAGGCAUAUGACAAGAUUGACAUGUAAGAUUGUGAGCUAAUGUCAUAAAGCGGCAUUGAGCUCGGGUUGUGUGUGAACCUAGUGGAUAGGGCCAUUGAGAGAAUUGGAACAUGUUUGUACAUCGAAAUGUCUAAGUGUCAUAAAGGGGCACUAGACCCAGUGAAUGAUUGGAGCUUCUCAUUGUGACCUAGAACUAGAUCAUUGAGAUGCUAGUGACUAUUACCAUGUUAGAGACAUGAUGAUUGAGUACUUGAGACGUUGACUAUGCUUGCUUGCCAUUUGUGCUCAUUCGCACAUGCUUGUGAGGGUCGCUCCCUACAAGCCGGCACUCCGGAGUUAGCCUAUGCGACUUAUGUUCGCUCGUGCGGUAUUGAGAAGCCUACGGGGUCGAGUGGGACAGACACAUUCCAAGAGUAGGGAUGUUGGGCUACCACAGGCACUUAGGCGGCACAAGCUGGACUACCUUUGGUAAGUCCUUAAAUUGGAAAUGAAAAUCGACACAGGGUUGAGAAUGAAUAAUCACUACUAGAUAGGAUUAGUAGUUGGAUUACUAUGACAUGCUUAUAGCAUAGUGUUGAGACAGGUAGUAUACUUGAUAGUCCUAUUUAUUGCAUCAUAGUAUACUUAUUACCAUGAUAGAGCAUAUUCUUCGUACAUUGUCAUAGUAGAUCAUGUUACCUACUUGCUCGCUAUGUUGGGAUAUAGUAUUCAUGCUUGGACAUACUUCAUUUGAAUAUAGUAGAUGUACAACCAUUUGACAUCUUGCUUAUGUGCAACAUAGUAGUUAGCAUUUUAUUUUGCUUUCUUAAAUGCAAACCGUUUCUUUUUAUUAUUAUUCUCAUUACUGCUUAUAGUAAUUAUCCGUUCCUUUUGGGGCCUAGUGGUGCACUGAGCUGAGGUCAGUAAUUGCCCACUGGGAACUAUAAAUUAUAGUUCUCACGCCCUCUGUUUUAUGUUUUCUUUCAGAGCCUUCCACGCCUGGAGAGGCUAGGGACCGAGGGAAGAGCGUGGCUUCGAGCUAGCUCUUCUGCGAAAGACGAGUCGCUAGGUGGUCCACCUCUCGAUGUUUUAUUUUGGAGAGGUUGAGAGCUGUACCAGUGUACUAGAGACCACCCUUUUGUGUACCUUUGAGACAGAUAUUGUACUACUUUAUGGCUACUUUUAUUGUCUAGUUAUGUUUCUUUUACUCUGGUUUAGAUGAUAGAAUUUUACUCGCUCUGAUAUCAUUAGUUGUUAUUUUACUUCUUUUUAUUUGUUCUACCUCUUGCUUUACUUCCGCUUUUUAUUGUAGACGCCUUAUAUGUGUAGACAUAUGGCGGGUCUGGGCACGCAACCGGGAGGGCCUCCGCCGGUCCCGGGGCGUGACAUAUAUACCCUUCUACUUACAAACCACCCCUCCCUCACAACCUUUUCACUACAAAACCAAAUUGUGCCCAUGAAUCGGAAAACUGCACUUUCAAGGGUUAUAUCCAUGCUCAGUACAUAUAUUAGUAGAUGAUGUUGCAGGCAAGUGCAUGUAAAAAACCCUAUUUUACAACAUCUUCGUUUGUCUUAAUAAGAAGCUCUAAAAUUGGGUAGUAGGUGCAAAAUAGCUUAUCCAUACAUGUUUCUCUGUUGGAUUCCAGAUAGUAAUCAAGCCUUCUCUGGGGCGGCCCUUUCUGUUCGAGCUUUUACUGGUAAGUCCCACCACUCUAACUUUCAUAAAAGGAGUGAUAUCCCUAGAACUAAGUCCUGAAUCUUCCAGAGCUUUUUCAAUCUUCUUAUUAACAUUAGAUUGCCUGAUAGCCUGCAUUUGAGAAACCACUUGGUGCUAUUUUCAGAACAAAAAGAAGCCAAAAUUUCAUAUGUACCCUCAAAAUAUAUAUGAAUUCAUUGAUGCAUCUGUACCAAAAAAAUACUCAGAAAGACCCUUGAAAACAUCAUAAAUGAUGUUGGAAAUGCACUUGUACAAAACAAUUGAUGUUUACUUAUGUAGCUUUUCCAGGAAAUCAAUGAUAUUUCAAAAUUUUGAGGGCGUGGUGUGUGCCAAAUUUUGAUGUUAUUGAGGGAUAUAAUUGAAAAUAACUAUAUAGACCAUUUUAGGAAAGGAUAAAACAGCACACCCCCUUGAAAGGUUUUUAGAAAAAAUUUACACAAAAAAAGAAAAAGAAAAAGAAAAAAGAUGAAACAGUAACUUAACAAAACACAACUACAGACAUUUUUCUUUGCCUGAUAAGACGAGAAAGAGACCAGCUGCUCCGAGCUCAUUUCGGCCAUUAUUACUUCUGGCUCAGCAGCACUCUCAAGGAUCUUACAUAUUUUUGCACCCUCAUCGCUAUCGUUUAUGUUUUCAAAAUGUUCUUGUUGCUCAGACAUAAUGUCCUCUACAAUCUUAGAUCUCCUGCAGCAAAAUAGAAACUGUUUAGCAUUGUUAGUAGAGAUAGAGAUAUUUAUACAUAUAACCCCGCAAAAUUAUCCAUCAACAUUCUCUGUAAUAUCUGAAAGUUGCAUACAUGCCCUCCAAAUGCUAUCUAUAAAAUAAGCUAUUGUGAUAAUAAGAAUCUCCCUUUUUCAUAGAAGUAUCUAAUAUGACCAAUUUCUCCAUAAGAAUUGGAUGACUCCCAAACUUAAGGCAAGGGUGUUUUAGUAAAAAGAUGCACUUUGAGGUUUUAUCUAAAAUUUCAGGUAUUUUACAGUGGUAUAUAUGUAAAUAGACUAUUUGUGGGGAUGUAUAUGGAAAAGUACCUUGUUAUACCAAGAACAGUACACUGGUUAAAAAGAUAACACUAAUUUUCAUCACAUGACAAUUAUAUAGGCCACCUUUCAUGCGAAGCCUAGUGCUAGAACUCUUUUCUCUUUUUCUUCCUUUUUUAUUGUUGCUCAAAUAAAACUUGCUAACUACAAGCAAGAAUUCUAUGUGAUGACAAAGAUAUUAAUACUAAGGUAUGACAAUCUAAAUGUCUUUUAACACCUGUCCACUAUAUUCAUAAGAGUGCUUCAGUCUUUAAAGAGUGCUUCAGUCUUUAAAGAGUCCUUUCAAUUCAGUCCUCUAAGCACCACUACUUAACCAACAGAUUCAAUAUUAAAGCAACUGCUAAUGCCGAUUAAGUUGCUUCUAGUUAUAAAUACAUGAAUGGAUGAUUCGUAGUGAUAAGCUACUAAUUACUAAGAAAACUGUAGCUGCUAAUUUCCAUUUUCAGUCUUUAUAUCUAGCAUGAUAACAGAGAGCAGUCACAAAAGAUGAGAUCUCAGUGGUUGAAGUACUUUAUGUUAAACAUUUGAACAAGCUACUAGUUGCAAAAAAAUUGUAGCUGCUAAUUUCCAUUCUCGGUCUAUCUAGCAUGAGAACAGACAGCAGUCCCAAAAGAUGAGAUCUCCGUGCUUGAAGUACUUCACAGCGAAUGUUUGAACAAUACUAAUUUGCAAAUUUAAACUAUUAAACAAGAUGAAGUACCACAGAGACAUUAACAAAUGAAUCACAACUCCACUGGCAUUCAAACUGAAACAAUUCUUGUGGGAAGUCAAUCUGCAAAGUCUAGAAGACAAGCAGUAACAAAUAAAUGAACUGUCCUUAAUAAAGUACUUAAAAGCGAGUACCUCUGCUGACAUAGCUGAAGUGCUUUUCUUUCCAUCCUUUCUGAUCUCACAACAGAACCACCAUUAGGGAACCUGGAUAAUACAUUUCUCAGAUAUCGACAAUAUAAAUAUCGUAAUAUUUGGCAAGUAUUUUCAGUUUGUGAUUCAGUUAUGUACCUUUCCUUAUAGAGAAGAGGAUAAACCCUUGUAACACCAACUAAUGUCAUAGGAACUAUACCACCAUAACUCUUAAUGCACCUAAAUGCCAAUGGAGGCCCAGGACCCUUACCUAAAAUGUAUGAGGAAGCCAUUAUACAGAGCAGAAUAGAAAAGAAAUAAAAAUUAGGACAUUCUGUUGUAUAUAUAUAGCUGCCAAAUCAUCUUUUUAUGUGUAUACCCCUAUAAAAUCUAAAUUUUCAUGUAAUGCCUUUGAAAGUGCAUCUUUUUACCCAAAAACGAAAAGAGAAAAAACCCUUUGUCCUAAGUUGAGUAGCCAUCCAGCUCAUCUCAAAAGUAGGUUUUGUAAUAUAAAAAGUUUUUUCAAAAAGGUGAACUUGGCUAGAAGUAAGUAGUAGGGGCAGGAAAUAUGAACCGACCCAGUUGACCGACCCGGUCCAGACCGAAAAAUAACCGGAUCCAAACAAAAUAUUCCUUCCGGAAAAUCGGUUCCAGACAAAUUAUUUUGUCUGGAUCAAAAUCCAUGUCGGAGCUGGACAUGAAAAUUCGGAGAAACCGGGUCACACUAAUAGUUUAAAUAGUAAAGUACUAAAGUUAAAUUAUAUUAGGUCUUUUUUAAUUUUUAAAUAGUUCAUUUAUAAAAUAUAUAUGAAAUGUCUCUAUGAUUACAAUAUUUUUAUUUUGUAUACACAAAAUUUAAGUUUUAAAUUUAAAUUUAAUUUAAAUUUGAUACAUUUUUAAAAUUUUUUGAAUUUAACUUAAAAUCUGGUCAAACGGGGUUUGGACAAAGACACUCGCUUUUAAAUUGGGUCUAGAUCUGGACGUUUUGUUGUUCGAAAGCCAGGUCUGGGUCGGGUCUAGACACAAUGUACAUUCAUUAUCUCUAAUGAUUGUCUGACCAGAUUUUGACCCAGACCUGAAUUUUUGCCAUCCCUACGCAGAAUGGUGUAUAAGUUAGAAAUUAAGUUUUUGGAAGGGCUAUAUGAAAGCUCAGAUGUCACACUGCUAUAGUACCAAAAGAUAAUCUUGCAUGUACAUAAGUAAAUAUAUCCAUAAACUAAAGCAGAAUUAACAACGAAAAAUAAAAUGCGCAUACAAAAUCCCAGUGGCUCAUCCCAUGUUGCUCUAAACGUCCCAUUUAUAUGUAUCAAUAAACUGACAGUAUUUGAUGCCUGGGGAAGAAAGAAAUCAUCAUUUUUAAGAUUAGUCUGAAAUUAGAAAGUUGUGUGAACAGAGUUUGAAGAGUGAAUAAACCUCGAGAAAAGAAAUAGGUCCAACCCAACCACAUAAAGCAGCUCCCCAGACCUGCCAAGGUACACUAAUUGUUGGAUGACUGAUACUGGUGGCAAUAAAUUUCAUAUAUAUAUAUAUAUAUAUAUAUAUGGAUAGAUAGAUAUUACUAUUGUACAUGAAAAAUGCCCAUAGUACCCGAAGCUUCUGUCCCACAAAAAGCUUCCCAGCUUGUAGCUGUUUUGAAAGUGAUACAUCUAAAACAGCAUCAAGCGGAUACCUGCAGAAUAGCAAAUGCUUCAAGUUCCUCAACUGCUUAAGUAUUUGUGUGAUGGCGCUAGGCUUUUCACUCACCACCCAUCAGUUAGUUCAACUUUGGCAGCAUGAUCAGAAUGAGAACGAAUAGCUGAAACACACAAAAUCAUCGCUGAAGCUGGCGAAGCAUCGCCUUCUAGAAUUUUCUUAAUUGUUGAUCGAUGCCCAUAGUUAACUUCUCUUUCAUAUCUAACAUUCAAAGACCACAUUUUAGCUUUUAAAAUUUGCGUGAAAGCCUCCAUAUCAGAAUUUGAGGACAGUGCACUUUAAUCUCACCUAUACUUCAAUUCCUCAAGAACGUUAGAAACUGUUAGAUACUUUCCACCAGCUACAGCUGGAUAGCAUCUCUCUAAGCAAGCAAGUUUCCAGACAAUAUAUUUGUAAUGGUUUGCAACCCACCUAAAAGGCAGAUUUAAAGAGAACUUUAGAAUGAGAAAGCUAAGUUAAUGAUCUUUCUGUACAAGGGGAAAAUUUGAAUAUAUAUUGUUUUGCAAUAAACAGGAAUCAGACAUGAUUAUUGCAGUUGAUAUCAAGCAUAGAAUAGAAAAGGCAUGAAAAAAGCAGUUUGAUAUGACUAUCUCUAACAAGAUUCAUGCUUAUUUAAGUAUUCUUGGUUAAUUAACAUAUUCUUGGUUGUCCACUUGUUCUAUAACAGCAAAGUAUGCUUAUUUGAAUAUUUCUUUAUAUGCUACAAGGUCAAACCUUGCUGCAAGGCACAGGACAGUUGCAUAAUUAUCCGAUGUGCUAGGAGAAGGUAUGCAUUUGAAAAGCUCCUCUUUCCCAGCAUCAAUGGAAUUGAGGGGAAAUAAAACAAGGAGGUCGAAAUUCAGAAGAAUGAACAGCAACAAACAAACUGUCGAUUUUGAUCCCUUUCAAUCACUAGGAAAAUAAUAUAAAAAAAUGACAAAUUCUAGAUAACUUAAAUACUUUAGAUCAAGCCUAGUGUAGCCGAUCGUCAAUUAAGAAGUUUCAUCAUCGAAAACACCUUGGUACCACAGAAACUUCCGUGCUUCCAAAAGCACCACAGUGGAUACCGAGUAUGAAAUACCAAGAGUACCGGCCAACCCAUCCGUAUUAAUCAUACCCAUAGUGAAAUACUGGUCUACCCAGUAUGACAAUAGAUAGGAUCACACAUAUUGUCAUCUAAGGCGUCCAAGUAAUGUACAGUGAUACUUGGUACCCGCAUGUUUGGCUGCUCUUCUAUUUCUACUUUCAACAUUCACUUCCAGUUUGGUAAAGCAUUUGGCAUAAAGAAAAGUUCUAGACCUUUUACUGCAUCAAGAAUCAAAAAUGAGAUUAUUGGGCCCAAAAGGAAAGCUCCAUUUGGUGCUUCUACUUCUAUUAUAGAGCUGUUGGGGCAUUAUAACAGGUGUUUUUCUAAUAUCUCUACUAAAGCAGCACAUCAUCAAACAGCACCACUACACCCCAAAGUAGGGCCAAACAGACCAUUAAAGUUCUAAUGCUAAACUGUUAAGUAUAUAAGUUUAGCCAUUCAGAUGAGUAUUAUAAGUAGAUAAAUUUAGCAAGCCGCUAUGCAACGUACUGAUGAUACUAUGUGAAACCUUAUAAAGUUCCUGCAUUAUGGGCUAGCUAAGAUAAUUUCAAAUUGCCCAAAAUCUACAACGAAGUUAGUUUUGCAGUAGGCUGCCGAUAUAUAAAACGUUAAGCUUAGUCAAAAAAUCGUAAAAAUAACAACUUGCAGUUUGAAGGAGGUUAAAAGGAACCUAAGGAGUGAGAAAAAGAACACCAAAACAAACUUAAAUCUUCAACAUUUUUUUCAUACAAUUCAAAAAAGGUCAGCAAUUCAACCAUCACCAUUUCAAUCAAAAAUAGAUCCCACAAUGUUUGGAUCCUCGCUUCAACCAAGAAAUGGAAAAUAGCAAUUAAGUUUCAAAAUUUUGGCAAGUAGAACAACUUCUGUGUAUGAUAAAUUUCUCACCCUAAUAAGUAAUCUAGUAUAAAGGUAUACAAAAUUUGCGUAUGAAUUGUUGAAAGAAAACAAAUUAAAGGACACUUGGAAAAGUGUGAUUGACUUCAACAGAGGUUGAAUAAAAGUUUUACAUACUAGAAGGUAUAUGCUGAAGCAGCAGCUAAGCUAUGAUGCACGGAUUUUUGUAUUUGAGUGUCAUGGCCAUGUCCAACUCAGAUAGGAUACCCAGACCAACCGGAUACCUUCUUGAUACGGGUCAGACACAGUUGAGUAAGUUUCUGGCUUUCUAAAAAAUUAAAAAUAAUUAUCCAAUAAGUCUGAGAUACGGCUGGCUGGCAGGGACACAGGCAGUAUACAGGAAGGCAUAAUGUGUUGAUUUUGAAGUUGGAUUUGAUCCAAACCCAAUGCCCAUAUUGAAUUAGCCAUCAACAAAUAUCUAACAACUCAUUUCCCUACAUCAUUGCUAUAUAUACUUGGAAAAAUAUAACUUUGCUGAUCUAUAUCAUAAUACAGUGAUGUUAAUUUUCUGUUAAUUUCCCCCACGUAUCGUAUCCUAUCUUUUCAGAAUUUGCCAUACCACCCGAUCUGUAUAGUAUGGUGUCCAUAUUACGUAUCCGUGUCGGAGCAACAUAGCAGCUUAGUAGAAGGGACUAUUUAGUUAAUUUUAAAAUAAAUUGAGAAAAGAAGAUUCUUAGAAGUAUCAAACUAAAAUUAAAAAAAAUAAAAGAAUGAUUCCACUCAACUCUUUAGUUGCGCUCGAUAAUGAACCACCAGAUUGAAGAAGCAUAUGCUGAAAUGCUUCUGACCCGAUCCCAGCACAACUAGAAGCACCAUGAAAUUCAAACUUUGCUGCAUUAUCAGCAUUUAUACGUUUAACUUCAUCUGGUAUGUCACACAUCUGAAGGACAUAAAAACAUAACUAUAUAGCUUCUGAUUAAAGUGAAAGAGGUAGAAAUGAACCGGAAGUCUGGAACUACACAGUACCGGGUUAUUGUGAGGUGGCCCACCAAAAAAUUCUUUCAUAUUUUUCCUAUUCUGAUGAAAUGGAUAGCGAGUAGACAAUCUUGUUUGGCGGCAGCCCUCAUGUAUUGUAGAUAGUUCAGAAGAACCUAGAAAACCAAUUACAUCGGCUAAUUAAAGCACAAGUUUGGUUACAAGAAAUGUAUUCCAAUUCGAUAAUUUACCAGUUGAGAAGAAAGAUGAGCUGCUGUUUAAAGGAGUCAUGAACCUGAAACAAGUUCAACAAGGAAACUUUAAGAGCAUGAGAUGGAGAUGACUCGUGCAAUGGUAAAAUGUGUGGAUAGUCCCAAUACUAUCCAAAUAUUGUGGCUUAGUCCACGUACUUUUUUCUUAACCACAUUAAUCCUUGCUUUAUCAUACAUUACAAAUAUCAUCCCUGGUUGCUAAAAAGAAUCUGAUACAUGACCUUUAACCCCCUCUCAAUGAUAAUAAAUGAAGUAGACAUUUUGCAAUAGAAAAGGUAAAUAGCCAUUUUGCAAGCACAAAGAUCUCUACAGUUAGGAUGGAAUUGCAAAAUAUGAAUAGGAUGUGGACCAAGUGUUUUAGUAAAAAGUUCAGGAACUAAGUCACAAUAUCAGCAUAGUGAAGCAAUUAUCCAUACAUUUGCCUAUUUGUACAACUUGAAAACAAAAGGCUAUAUUCCAACCAACCUAGAAGUGCGUGGUCUUUUAAAUGGAGAGAUAGAGUUUCUUCUUCCAAGCCUUCUCUUUUCAGUAGUAAACCGAUCCAUAUUUCCAUUAUCCACACCUAUGAGAUUAGAUAUUUCAACUAGGGGUCCACUUGGUAUCCGGCUUUGUUGAGUCAUCUUCACAGUGCUAAUUACAUUAUUUGUAUAUAAGCCCUUGUGCUGAGGAUUCAGCAUAGGAAUAGUUUUGCAACUUGGGCAGUUUCUACUCUUCAGAAGAGUUCCAUUGGCAUUCAGUUGGUCUGCAUCAUGUACUGGCAGAAAAUAUGAUAAAUUUGUCAACACAUUUUUGCUUGCAGGGAUGUCCUGGAAAGGAUCGAAAGUAAUGUUUUCUUUGUUACGAGAGAUCCCAUCAAAUGAUUUCUUAUCUUUAGGAUCAAAUGUUAAUGGGUGACUUGCUUUUAUAUCAUUCUGCAAGACACCCAAAUCUGAGUCCCCAAGAAGGCUCCUUGCACGCUGUAAUGCAUUGCUAGAAAUAGAUACAGAUCUUCCCCUGGCGGUUUGGAACAUGAUAGGAGGCCGGGCCCUCAGACCCUCGAGAGAUUUGGCACCAAAUGUAGGCACCUCAGACCCUUGAGGGAUUUGGCAUGCAUCUCCUAAAACUAGGUUACCUGAGCAUAAAAGAGAAGGCAAAGAAAGAAAUAUUAGAGUUUUUUGAGUAUACACCUCCCACAAGUAUGCAAUUGAACAAAUACUCAACAAACUUGGCAUCUGUGUUUAUGCCCCCAAAUUUCAUAUUUGUUUACACCAACGUCCUUGCUAGGGGCAAUUAUGGGAAAACCAUUUUUGCAUCAUACCCCGGCAGGAGCUCACGUGCAAAUCAAGAAAAGUUUAUAAGGUUAUGUGCCAAAUAUAAACUUUGCUAGGAUAUAUAUGCAAAAUCCAUACAAAAAAAGUUAAACACCUGUGUUUCACAUGCACUGAAAGCCUGUCAGGUAAAUUUUCCAAAUUGUAAUUUCAUUUUGGUACCUAACUGAUCCUCAGAAUGACCAAAACUUUGUGCGCUAGCAAGGUCGUUUCUCUCCAAACCCAGCAAAGCAGUAGCUCUUGAAAGGCCAGCUGAAGAAACAUUUACUGCUUCCACAGAGCUUGUCUGGAAAAGUUGUCCGUUUAUGUUGUAUUUAUGUAGUUCAUCUGGACAUUAACAUGUCAAGGUUAACCUACUUCAUCAAUUAAUGAAGAAAACUAUGUUAAACCAAAUUAUAAUGAGAGGGUUUGUUUCGAGUUCUUCAAAAUCCACACAGGCAAUAUUGAGUUAUAAGCAAAAAAAUUUCAAGAGUGAGAUACUACUUACUUCAGGCUACAUGAUAACCCAUGAAGCUGUUACAAAAUUACUAAGCAGAGGCGCAGCAAGCUUUUCUUGCAAAAGCUAAUACUUCUAGUAUUCAGUUUGACUCUUGUCUAGGUCAUGCUAUAAUUGUGAACCAAACUCCUGAGAAGCAAUAAGUGAAAAGACAAAAACAAAACUAAACUAAACAAAAUUCAAUCUCUAAAAACCCUAAACCCUAAACCCUAAACCCUAAACCCUAAAACCGUAGACUGCAUCAUAAAGUAAAUCUUGAGUUAUUGUGCCGACAUGCAGUUCAUGCUGUAAAUUACUAAUACGUUCUGCAUUGCAUGUGCAACCCCUUUAAUAAUGUAGUCAUCUAGCAGUCAAAGAUUGAACGAAAAAUGUUAAUUUUUUCUUGUUGUAUUGUUUUCUUACAUCACAGAAAAAUCUUAACAGCCAUCAAUUUGAAAAUCAAUGAUACAUGAAUAAAGUAGCAUAAUAGAGAAUAUAUGUUUCUAAGCAGAACAUUAAUAAAGUCCAAUGAUACAAGCCAUACAUAACCAGAAGCUUUUAGUUACCUUUCUCCAUAUUAUCUUUGUAUUGAAGAACAGACAUAGAGAAUAUAUGUUUCUAAGCAGAACAUUAAUAAAGACCAAUGAUACAAGCCAUACAUAACCAGAAGCUUUUAGUUACCUUUCUCCAUAUUAUCUUUGUAUUGAAGAACAGACAUAGCCUUCUUAGCUAAAGAAUGUUUCAAUGAAAUGGAACUCCUCAAUCCAAUGUGGAACACGGAAGCAUCACCAUUAUCCUCACAACCUUGAAGAUUGUCAAGUGAUGCUGAACAAAAGGACAACAAGGUAAAUCAUCAGUAGUUUCAACAUAGGAAGUACAAAUAUAUAUAGAACAUCACGUCGAAUUAUAUAUCCACAAUGAAAGAAGCAGGAAACAAAUAAGAGUUGACUAAAAUGUUCUAUCCAUGGCUGUGGAUAACGUGUCCCUUUAGCUUUCUGAUUAUACAAAAGGGUGCAUACAGUACAUAAAUUAGCAGAGCCCACAAGAGAAACUAUUGUUUGAAAAAGGUAAGUCUAGUGGAAACUCAUAGUUUAGUUAUCUAUAAUCUAUAACAUACUAUGAAUUCUUAUGGAAUUCAAGCUCUCCCCACGUUUUAGGGAAAAAGUGGGACCCGCCUCUUCUCUAAAUAUUAAGAAUAAGUUUUUUAGUGGGGCCCACCUUCCCUCUCUCUCUUUAAUUAAGAGAGGUCAUUUAAUUAAAACUUUUGGGUUCCUUCUUUCUUCCCAAACGCCCUUCCGUCUCCUCCCUCUCAAUCCGCGUUUUAGAAAAAAAGUGAGACCCGCCUCUCCUCUAAAUAUUAGGAAUAAUUUUUUUAAUGGGCCCACUUUCCCUCUCUCUCUUUAAUUAGGAGAGACCCAUUUAAUUAAAAUUUUUUUGUUCCUUCUCUCCUCCCAUACGCCUCUGCGUUUCCUCCCUCUCAAUCCCGCGUUUUAGGAAAAAAGUGGGACCUGCCUCUCCUCUAAAUAUUAUGAAUAAUUUUUUUAGUAGGACCCACUUUCUCUCUCUCUUUAAUUAGGAGAAGCACAUUUAAUUAAAAUUUUUGGGUUCCUUCCCUCCUCCCAAACGUCCCUCCAUCUCCUCCCUCUCAAUUUUUUUUUUUUUAGUCCAUUCCAUACGCCCCUUCCACUCCUCUCUCUCAAAUUCUCUUUUUUUUUUCCACCAGCCCCUCCGCCUUCUCUUCUCUAUCUCAUCCUUCUCGAUCCAGAAAUAACGCAUAGCGUCCAAUGGUGGCGGUGGUAGCGAGUUAGAGAACGAGGUGGCGUGAGCAGCAAUGGCGUGCAGUAACUACAGUUCCACCACCGCAGAUAUCAAAGAAGAGCCUACGAUCUCUGUGCGGGGAUGCGGUUCCUUCUCAAUAGUAUAGUGCCUUCUUCUUUUUUUUGUCUUAGUGUUAUUUGAUUUUAUGCCGUGAGUAAUUUUUUUAGUAUUAAUAUUUUAUUUUUUAAGAGACUUUUUUAUGAACUAUUUUGGAUUCAAUUCGCACCGUUUUUUACCUUUGUUUUCUGCCUUUUUCUUUUGUUUUCUGUUAGAUUUAAUUUUGUAGAGUAAACUAUAUGGAUAAGUCCCUACAUUAUUUGGAUAUUACAACAAAUGUGCUAUUACCAACAAGAUCAACUGUCUUCUAAUCAGGUUUCAGAAGAUCAACUGUCUUCUGAUCAUGUUUCAGAAACUUCAUUGAAAUCUAAAAAUUCAAUAAUGUAUCCAAAAUUUUGAAAAAAUAAUUCCCAAAAUGUAGUUAUAUAUUGAUGUUUCUUCUUUACAUUUUUAUUUGUUUAUUUAAUUCGCAAAUUUUAAUAUGAUAAUUUCGUCUUUGUUUCUUUAUGUAAUUUACAAAUUUUUACUAUGAUAAUUUUUAUCCGCUGCAUCGCGCGGGUCUCUACACUAGUCACCAUUAAGAGUUAAGGGUGCAGGUUAGCUUCAAAUUUAUACUCUGUAAUCUACACUGAUUCACAUCACCACGAUUGGAUCUCUAAUAAGUACAAUGUGAAAAGAAAAAUUAACCAUAUUGAAGUCAGGGUUCAGUUAAAUGCCAAUUAUUCAGAGAAUUUUAGAUUUUUAUGUAUGCAUGUAUUGAUGUCUGCAUGUAUGUAUGUUGAAGGUUAGGGAUUUGGGAAUUGGCCUACUAAGGUUUUAUAAAGAAUAAUAAGAAGAAAGCAAUCAGAAAGUGUACUAUGGAGCUCUCUUUUCCACAAAAGGUGCCUGGUAAAUAGAAUAUGAGUGUAGGAUUGGCUCAAAGAAGUUUUUGGCAUAAUGUCAGAUAAGAGACAAUAAUGCCGUAGUUCCAAAUAUAGAGAAAGAAUACAUUUCAUGUCUAAAGGCUAAUAUAUCUUUCCGCAUCGAUAGUCAAUUUUGGUUUAUGUUUUCUGGACAUUUUACAUAAGCUGGAUAAAGGAUAGUAUCCAAUUCUGCAUAAUUCUCUCAACACUCCUUUUCCUACAUAACCUCCAUCUCUCUGUGAAAAAAAUAAAAAAAUUAAAAAAUAAUCUGAGACUCUUCUAGAUACAUAUAGGUUAUUACUAUUUGGGGCACCAGGCAAACCAUCAGUAUUAGCAAAAUAUUAAUCUUUAUUUAGAGAGAGAUGUUUGAAUAGUUUAAAUAGGAGGUUCCCUCAUGCACGGUGAUAGAUCCUAUGCUUUCUCUCUCGUUAAAUAGUAAAUACACACAAAGCAGAGUUAAUAUCACAAAUAUUAAUGCACAAUCAAAGAGGAGAAUCCAGCAGUACACCUUUCUCUGUAUCCACUCGUUCAAGAAUAGCUGCUGCCUUCGUAAUUGAGGAUUGGCUCACGUUAACUGGUUUCCCCUUUCCAGCACGGAACAUAGGAAAAUCAUCAUUGCCCCAGCGGCCUUCUAAAAUUGGAGUAUCUACAAGCAAAAUAGAUAUAGUAGUGUAGGUUAAUAGCAAGGUCAGUACAGGAAGAUUGUGAAAUUUACAAUUUUCUAGCAGCUCAAGCUAAUAGAGAAAAGUGUCUUUAAUCAUUUAUUCUACACUCGCACUCAUGACGGGGCUCAAGAUUUACAUAUUGUCCCGAGUUGUGAAUUUCAUAUUAGAUUGUAGCUUUAUUCUUUUCAACAAUAUAGCCGAUUGGUCUAGUGGGAUUCAAACUAAAAACCUCUAGCAUUAAAACUAAGUUAAACAACUGAUUUUCUCUAAUAGUUUAAGCUGCUAGAGCAGCUAGACAUCAAUGUUUCUAAUAGUUUAAGCUGCUCGACGCUAAAAUGUGACCUUCUUUGGGAUUUCUAAGACAGCUAUUAGAUAGAUUACUUCACACUUGUACAUUCUACUGUAGUCAUGAUCCGUGGGUUACAAGAGAACUAAAAAAGUUUGUUGGUGUAAAAUUGACAAUGUGUGAGCAAUGAAACAAGAAAGGAGUACCAACAGAUUAAAAAUAAAUAGAGCCAAGAAAGAACAGCCUUCAAAUCACCUUUCUCCACAUCCUCUUUGGCAAGAACAGCUGUUGCCUUUUGAACUGAUGACCGUGCCACAUUCAAUACUUUGACCUGUCCGUUAUGGAACAUUGAAAUGUGACUACCACCAGCCCCCUCCAAACUUUCUUCAUAAUCUAAAGAAAUUAAAUAAAGCAUCUAAGAAAAUAUAAAGUUUCCAUACUAAAUUAAUAUACUGAGAUAAUUAUGAUAAUCUUCAUGAAUUGGCGUACAGGAUACAAACAAGAGGAAACAUCAGAAUACCUUUCUUCAUAUCCUCUCCUUCAAGAACGGCAACAGCCUUCCUAAAUGAAUCCUGUUUCACAGACACUAGCUUCCCUGAUCCAGUUUGAAAAAUGGGAAAAGCCCCGCAGCCCAAAUCACCCUCUAAAAUUGUUCAAGGAAAUAUGAAUAAUGUGAAUCGUGUGAAUCAACAUGCAAAUCUGAAAAGAGGAAGUCGAAAUGUACAUAGACAAAAGAGAUGACGAGAACAUUAGGAAGCAUAAGUUUCCAUACAAAAUUAUAUACUGAGACCCUUUCUACGAUUUUCAAGCAUUGAAGAGGUAUAAAGGAUAGAAAGAAAAAGAAACAACAGAACACCAUUCGUCAUAUCCUCUCCUUCAAGAAUAGCAACAGCCUUCCUAAAUGAAUCUUGUUUCGCAGUCACCGGCUUCCCUGACGCAGUUUGAAACAUGGGAAAGUCUCCACUACCCCCACCUCUCUCUAGAAUUGUUCCAACAUCUGAAUAAAAUAAAAAUGAUACAAAAUAUUAGUAGUGUGACUUUGUAUCCGAAUUUGAGAAGUCGAAACGCCCAUAAACAAAUUGGCGAUAAGGUUUUAGUAUAUGGAAUGAGUGGUUCUUUGGUCUGGCUCCUAGAACAACAUCUCAACUAUGCAGGCAAAAGCCAAGACAUUGGCAGCAAACAAAAGGUAUUGCAGGAGGAAACAAUAAGCUUUUUCCUUUUCGGCGCUAAAGGAAACCCAAUUUGGCACUUCUAUUUUCAGUGCAGUGGGGAGCUUUUUUAUUAAAAAAAUCAUUACUUCUUCUCAAACAGUACUUUUGCAUAAGCUCGGGCUGAGGCAAACAGGCCACACUAUUCAGAGUUUACGGUACAGUUCAAGUUGCUAACUUGAAGCUUACAGAUACCAAAAUGCUUGAAAAACAGAUUAUAAACAUCAAAACAAAGGAAAAAAAAUAAAAGAAAAGUUGCCAUCUUUACUAAUGCUACUGUUACCAUUCUCCUCAUUUUCUCCUCCAAGAACAGAUGCAGCUUUCCGAAUUGAAGACCGCUUCACUGUAACAGAUUUCCCAGACCCAGUUCGAAACAUCGGGAAUCGACCACUCCCAUCUCCCAACCCUUCACCUCCUAGAGAGCACACAGCAAAUCAUUUAAGUAAAACAACAGAUGCACGCCUACAUCAGUAAUCAAAAACCUGAAUCGCACACAUCAUUAAUUCCAAAAACAUUAGAUUGUAUUCGAUUCACCUCUCAUUUCAGAUCCUUCUCCUUCUAGAACGGCCCUCGCCUUCCGAAUCGAGCUCUCGCUCAGCGACACCGACCUCCCCGUCCCCAUGCGGAACAUCAGAGGAGCUCUGGCACCGGAUUGUUCGGCGCCAACUUCUAGAAGCUUCGGGCGAGCUAAAGGAGUAUAGAUACAAAGGAGGAAACCACCACAACAUGAGAUUGAGAAAAUGAGAUCGGUCGAUUGAGACGUCUAGGGUUUAGGAUGUACCUUGAAGGAGUAGGUCGGCCAUGGAGGGGAGCCUAUGGUUUGGAAUGGGAUGGUUAUCGUCUCUGGAAACUAGGGUUUCCGGCGGCCGCGGCGUCGCUUCUGGUGGAGGGCAGGGAUCGCCGCUGGCGGCCGCGGCGACCCACCGUAGGUCGCCGUCGGCGGCCGGGAGGAUCUGCCACGUCGGCAUCUCCGGCGCCUCUCUCUCUCUCUCUCCCUCUCCUUUUUGUGAUCUCUCACUCUCGCUCUAAGUAUACUGUAUACAUUGAGGUCGCAAGAGAGAGAAAGAGGGGGAGAGGGUGGAGAGAGGGAAAAGGGGGAGGCGGGAACGUUACAUAUUCUGAAAAAGUAGAAAUAAAAACUAAUAAAGGAAAAUAUAUAGAAAAAAAAUCAAAAAAAAUAAUAACAUAUAUAAAGAGAGGGGAAAAAAUAAUAAUAAUAUGGUAAUCAUACAAAUAAAACGGUACCACAAUUAAUGAAUUAACUAGGGUAGGAAGCGUNNNNNNNNNNNNNNNNAUUAACUAGGGUAGGAAGCGUAAUGCCGCGAAUAAAAUUAUAGUAAAAAUUUAUAAAUUAAAUAAAUAAAUAAAAAUAUGAAAAAACAGGUAAAUAAUCAUAAUUGAUUGGUCAAUAGUAUAAAAAUUUAUUAAAAAUUUCUUUAAAAUGAAAAUACAACAUAGCGGACAACAAAGAAAAAAACGAAAAGAAUGAACUAUAAAAAAAUUUUAAAAAAAUUAUUGCAUAGAUAUUCUGAAAAAGAGAGGUGAGUCUGCUAUGUAUAAUAUUAACCGUAACCAACCAAACAAUAUAUUAAAAACUUACUUUUCUAUUAAUUCAUUAUGAAAAAAAUUUCAUAUAACCACCCCGCAUUGUGAUAAAAUAAAUAAAUAAAUAAAGUCAUCAUUUUUGAAUCUAACUAAAACCCAAAUAUUCCAUCCUCUUCUUCUCCUUACUUUCCUAAUUAAUACUCAGGCACUACACAAAUAGACCAGUUUAGAAAUAUUUUUUUUUCUUUUUUCGCAUAAAUAUUCCUGCCAAUGUGUAAAAUAGUAGAAACGGAUCCAAAAAAAUUAGUAUUUGAUAUGCUAUAAGAGAUAAACACAAUUUUUUUUAAAAAAAAAUUGGAGAUUACAAUCAAGGCAAUCACAAAUUUUGAAAGUAAAAGAGAAAUAUUCAAAAGGCUUAUUUGGUAAAUUUCAGUUGAUGGCAUAAUAACAGUAGAAGAGAAAGCACAGUCUCUUGGGCCCUCUACAGUACGUGCACAAUGCGCCUAUCUAGAAGCUUCCGAAUCUCCUCACCCCUACCAUAGCGUGGAUCAACGGCGUCGCCGCUGUUGCUGCCGACGCAAGUGGGGAUGGGCCUGACGCACCUCUCAGGUGAUGGCAACGGCAACAGCAGUGGCGGCCCCUUCGAAGUUGGCGGAUGCGAAGGUGUAUAGGUUGAGAGAGAGAGAGAGAUUGAUGUUGAUAGAGAAGAAGGGAAAAAAAAGAAAAAAAAAUAGAGAGAGAAAGAGAACGGAAAGGAUGGAAACCAUAGGACGAUUAGCAGCGGGGAGAGAUUGAUGCAUUAAUUAGAAGUCCAUGUACGGAAUCAAAAGGUUACUAUUAGUGCCUAUUUGAAGAUGGGAAGGUGGAGCAUUAAUUAUGGAAAGAUUAAGAGUUAUGUAUAAUAGUAAAUACUUACAGAUGACCUAAUUUAAUGAAAAAAGAAAAGUUAUUGAUACUGGCAGGUGGAUCUCGCAGCAGCCAAAUUUUAAGGUCAUCCUGCUCCGUGGAUUAGAUUAGGGGGAUUAAUAAUAGUUUAUAGAAGAUAAUCUCAUCUGCCAACAAAAUUCGAAAAAAACUCACUUAAAAGAAAAAGAAAAUCAAAAUGAAAAAAAAAAGUAUUGAAUAACACUACUAGUUUGUCAAUGAACCUGUACUAUAAUCACAAAAAUGUUAGGAUUUCCAUAUAUUGUGGCCCAAUUAAUCAUAUUUAAUUUAGGAUUUGCUAUAGAUAAAGGUCAAUCCUAACAGAUUUAGAACUACUUGAUAUGGUAUAUUUUAUCCCUAUCCCAUCUAUUUCAGAUUUAAAUAGAAUCCUAAUCAGACUUUGAUGGGAAGUCGAUCUGGACUCUAUAUAAAGGGGUAUUGGUCCUGCCACCUUUUCAUACGCAUUCUGGUGAAGAAUUACCAUCGGUUCCACACCAUACGGCAGAGUGCCUGAGAUAGGAGGAGAAACCAAAUCACCCAAGUUCGGUUCGUGACUUUCAGAUCAUAGCCGGACUUCACGCUUCCGCAAGAUUGAUCAAGAAUUUCUUCUCUAUGGCGCUCUGUGAGUUAUCUUAUAAUUUUGUUUUGAUCCUGAAUUUUGGUAUGUAUUUAUUUUCGGUUUUGUUUUACAUACCUAUAAAGUCUAUCAAAAAAGUCACAACAAUAGGAUGGAAGCAUAAAGAACAAUAUAAAUAAAUAAAUGAAUGCAAUGUAAAAAUUAUUAAAAAUUAAAAUAAUUGGCCUAAUGGGGCUAGGAAAAAUGAUACUUAUGAUGGCAGUGUGUUUAU
rnacentral:lncRNA from 1 species